UCAGCCACUAAAUGGUGCUGGGACCUCGCAGUUUGGUGGGAAGGAGGAAGCUUACUCAAGCAAGGAAUAUGAGACAGGCAAAAACCCACGCAUAAGCCAAAAGCCCCUCCAAAGCGAGGUGUUGUUCCAGGCUGACAAGUGUCCAGCAGGGUGGACUUCAGACUCCCUGUUAGGAACUGAAUUGUGUCCCCCAAAAAGAGAAAGUCACCCCAGGGUAUGACCUAAUUCAGGAAAGGUCAUUGCAGAUGCAUUUAAUUAAAUGAAGAUGAGCUCAUGCUGGAGUAGGGUGGACUCUGAACCCAGUGGGACAAGCGUCCUUAUUAAGAAGAGGGAAAUCUGGACACACACAGAGCAGAGACCGCCGUGUGAAGAUGGAGGCAGAGAUCGGAGAGAUGCUGCCACACGCCACAAAUGCCUGGGGCUCCCAGAAACUACACGGAGCCUCCCCCAGCGGCUUCAGCAGGAGCAUGGCUCGGCCAACACUUUGAUCUUGGUCUUCCAGCCUCCAGAACGUUUUCCUAAAAUUCCCUUUUCCACUGGUGUGUGGUGCAAGAUGAGGCACAUUUUCCAUGGAUGGUGAACAGAGGGAGGAGCCUUUUGAUCACAACCAGGUCACCCCACUUCUAAGCCACUGUGCCUCCAGCCCCACAAGACUAAGGAGAGAGAGCGCAGCGUGGUGGAGAGUGAGCUGUGCUGGGACCAUUGUUUCCGUAACCUCGUUUUCUGUGUCCAGCUGACACACCUUCAAAGUGGCAUCAGGUCCUAAACUGUAGCUUGCAAUGUGCCUGUUUCCAGAAACCAAGGUGAAAGUGCUUUUAGACAGUGUUCCCAUGCAAGAGUCCCUUCCCAGCUUUUUUCUGGAAAUGCAUGUUUCUCUGAACUCUGAGUCCCAAGAAAAAUCACUUGAGACACCAAGAAAAUGGGGGAAGUGCUAAAAUUGUGUGGGAAUUCAAGCUUAACAAUAAACAUCAAGACAUUUUUGAUAAAAAUGAAUCCACUGACAUCGGGGAGGAGCAAGAGAACAGCACGCUGACACUGGGUCAGAGGCUAAGACCGACAUUUCUGGGAACCACUCCCGGAAGGGCACAGAGGAGACGCUUUCAGCCUCUCAUCAGCCAGCCUGGCCUGUAGCUGCUGCACGUUAUGAGUGUGUUCCUGGCAUGACUGCUUCUAACAGUGAGUUUUCUG
rnacentral:lncRNA from 1 species